rnacentral:lncRNA from 1 species
GGUAUAGCUUACGAUUACAUCGGAAUUUAAUGUGCAAAGUAAAACUGUUGCGCCCGUACACAUACAGACAGGCAUCACACUUUUUUUCGAUAUGAUAUUUGUCUGUAUGUAAGUGUGCGAACUCACAAUUUUUUCUCUCUUUUUCUUUCAUAUUAAAUUCUGAUGUUUUUGUAAUCACACUAUCUGAAGCGUAUUUGUAGAAAAUUUCGUUAAACAGUAUCUAUUUUUUCUGCAAGUUAUGAGAAAACAAAGUUGAUGUGUGUGUCACAUUUGUGUAGGUAAACUAUCUGUACAUACAUACAACACAACACAACAUACGUACACAAAACGACAAAAUAAAUCGAAUUAGAUAAACGACUGAAAUAACCCAGAUAAAAUAUUUUACUGAUUUAUAUCUCGAAGAUUAUAUUUUUCCAAAAAGUCCUCUUUUAGUUCCCACAUAUGCGAACGCCAAUGGCUUGCACGCACAUACACAAAUCCCUAAUCUCUCACACACGUACAUGCAGCUAAUUGUCAUCUGCGCACGCGGUUGUCAGUUGAGUUGUGUAUGUGAAUGAGGAUGAAGUUUGUAGAUGCUAGGAACGUUCGUUUAGAUCUCUCUGUCUCUUUCACAGUCUCUCUACAUCUGUCCCUAUCAUUGCCUGUCUUCAGUCUCUCUUUUCUUCCCUCUCUAUCACACACACUUUUACCACCCUCUUUUCACAGGGUGAAAGCUUAUUUACACCACAAUGAUUUACCAUUAGAACUUCAACAUAUAUAGAGCUGUAGGUUAGCAGAAUCGCCAAGAGUGUCUAGAAACAGCAAUCCCCCCCCCACUUACUAUGAUACUAAUCGUAACCUAUGCUAUGCCCUCCCACCUCAUCUUACACCUUUGGAAGAUUCGUUAGUACGCCGAGCAAAAUGCUUAUCGACAUUUCGUCUUUGUUUUGAGUUUAAAUUCCGCCGGGUCAACUUUGUUUUUCAUCCUUUGGGGAUCGAUAAAAUAAGAACCAGUUGAGCAAUAGGGUCGAUGUCAUCGACUUACCCAGUCCCCUGCAACUACUGGCUUUGAGCCAAAAUUUGAAACAAUUAUUACUAUUACUAUUAUUAUUAUAUGAAACUCUCAUAGCUUAUUUUGCUGGUUAUGAUGGAAAGUGUCAGCUGUCCUCAGCCAGCAGACCAAGGUGAUACUUGUUUACUAGUCAUGUUUCAAGAACCCUGCAAAGAAUUCUUGCAGUUUCAAGCGAUGCUGGUUUACCUUCACACUUGCGGUACGUCGUGCACCUGUACAGGUAAUGUCGAUUUGGUGGAGGGAGUGAUCUUAUGUGAACACAAACAUUUGAUCACUAUAAACAAACCAUGUGUGGUUGUUUAACAAGAAAUUGCCGAACCUUCGUACGCUGUCAAACGACAGGAGAGUUCGUGAUCAUUAUUAAGUAAUCGACUAAUCCCUCUCCCCAAAUUUCAGGCCUAUUUUCCUUUUUUUUAUUGUGGACGGUGAUCAAUAAUAUAAGAAGAAUUGACAGGAGAUAAUAACAUAUAACAAAAGAUACUAAUAUAAGAUGGACUAGAUAACUAUUCCCCAUCAUAAAAAUUGUGUGCAAGCAUGUGUAUUGAAAAACUAGAAAGUAAAAAUUAAUAAUAAAUCAAUGAAACUGUUGUAAUAGUUGUUAAAAUAUUACGGAUAUUAAGAUAGAGUAGAUACCAGCUUACCGUUAGAAAGUUUAUACGUUUGUACGUGUGUGUGUGUGUAAUAGACCAGAAAGUGAUAUUAAUUAAUAAAUCGAUUGCAAAGUGAUUGUUGUAAAAGUACUCUAUAGAGAUUUUAAGGCGGCGAGCUGGCAGAAACGUUAGCACGCCGGGCGAAAUGCGUGGCCGUAUUUCGUCUGCCGUUACGUUCUGCGUUCAAAUUCCGCCGAGGUCGACUUUGCCUUUCAUCCUUUCGGGGUCGAUAAAUUAAGUACCAGUUGCGCACUGGGGUCGAUGUAAUCGACUUAAUCCCUUUGUCUGUCCUUGUUUGUCCUCUCUGUGUUUAGCCCCUUGUGGGUAGUAAAGAAAUAUAUAGAGAUUUUAAUGAACAGCUUAUGAUAUUCCAUUUUAUUUACAUGUUUUAAAAAUAGUGGUUUUGAAAAAAAAACUUUAUUAGUUGAAAAAUGACAUAGUAAUAUGUACAAUAAAAAUAUUCAAUAAAUUUUUAUGCACACACACACACACACACACACACAUCCACAAACAUUCAUAUACACACAUAUAUGAUUUUUUAAAAAUAAUUUAGAGGAUGUAAAACUCUGCUGACUCAUUAUUUUUUCUUCUUUCAACUUUUUCUUGAAGAAACUCUGUCCGAAACGUCGAGUUCACUAUACUCUUUUUAGCUAGAGAGAGAGAGAGAGAGAGAGAGAGUGGAGAAAGAGAGAGAGAGAGAGACAGACAGAGACGAAGCAGGAAACGUAAUUGGUGUACUUUAAGCAUUAUAUAAGCGCGCUUUCACACGAAGAUGAAAACCACUUGAUUUAUGGAAACGCUCUUAAAUAUAGAACUUUGAAAAAACUAACCAUGUUUUCUGUGAUUCUUGUUACUAAAUACCUUGACUUGAACUCCGAACUUUAGCUUAUCCCACAAUAUGGUUGAUCAUAUCACUUCGUACGCAGAAUAGGAGUGAAGUGUGGAACUGAUUACGAAGCCCAAAUUAUCUCGUUGUGCUUUCCAGCACACUUUUAAUUAUACAACCCUUAUAUACACACACAUUAAGGUAAAAUAGACUAUCACCAACUAAUACAAUGUAUGAUACCAAUAGUAUAGGUUUCUUAUGUUGCAACAAAAUUUUCAUUGAAGUUUUUUUUCUUCUGAAGCAAUAUCUUCAACAUGUCCCAGAAACUAAUACAAAAAUAAAUAAUGUAAAAGAGGAAAAAAGGUCCAAUUAUGUGCAAUUUAAUCAGGUUUUUUAAAAAAUUGAAUUAUGAAUUAAUUCUUAUUUAAGAUUUUCAUUCUUAUGAGACAUCCAGAUCUUUGUUUUUUAUUACUACUAUAACAACUAAUAAAUCGAAGAGUGGUUGAUAGCAGAAUCAAUAAUGCGUUGGACAAAGUUCAUCGACAGUUUCAUUCUGGCUCUUCACAUUCAGAGUUCAAAUCCAGUCGAGGUCAACUUUGCCUUUCAUACACCAGGGGAUUCGAUAAAAUAAGUACCAAUCAUGUAUAGGAGUCUAUUUAAUCGCUUAAUUCCCUACUCUGAAUUCGUGGCCAUAUUAGGAAAAAGGAUAAUCGGUGAAGAACGGUUAACGACAGAACUGGUAAAGCUACGGACAAAAUGCCUUGUGGUAUUUAAUUACAUCGCUUUGUGCUUGGAGUUCAAAUCCCGCCGAGAUCGAGUUUAUCUUUCAUCCUUCUAGAAGUCCAUAAAAUAAAGCCCCAAUCAGGUACAGGGGUAAUGUAAUCGAUCAUACGCUUCACUAUCAAAAGAUUGAAGCUCUUUUCCUAUGUUAGAAUUAAUUUUAUUAUUAAACUGUUAACAUGUAAAUAGAUUGUGAUUUGAAAAUAAAAAAUAAUAAAUUGAAAUUUUCUUCCUCACAUUUUUAUACAGACUGAGACAAAUAAAUCACAGCCAGGCACUGCAGAUAGAACCUUUGCGCUCUGAUAUAUCACAAAAUAUUCUUAUAUGAUUUUUUAAAAACAUUCUUGUUGAAUAAAAGUUACAGUUAUAUAUACUC